AUUGAACGCUAGCGGGAUGCCUUACACAUGCAAGUCGAACGGAGUGGCGAACGGGUGAGUAAUGUAGCGGAACGUGCCCAGUAGUGGGGGAUAACUACGCGAAAGCGUAGCUAAUACUGCAUACUAUUGGCGCGGCCGAUAGCGGAUUAGAUAGUUGGUGGGGUAACAGCUCACCAAGGCGAAGAGCCGUAUCUGGUUUGGUAGGACGACCAGCCAAACUGGAACUGAGACACGGCCCAGACUCCUACGGGAGGCAGCAGUGGGGAAUAUUGGACAAUGGGGGGAACCCUGAUCCAGCCAUCCCGCGUGUGCGAUGAAGGCCUUCGGGUUGUAAAGCACUUUUGUCAGGAAAGCGGUACCUGCAGAAUAAGCACCGGCUAACUACGUGCCAGCAGCCGCGGUAAUUC
rnacentral:rRNA from 1 species